UACGGAAGGCAGCAGUGGGGAAUAUUGCACAAUGGGCGAAAGCCUGAUGCAGCUAUGCCGCGUGUAUGAAGAAGGCCUUAGGGUUGUAAAGUACUUUCAUCGGGGAGGAAAAACAAAACUAAUAAUUUUAUUUCUUGACGUUACCCGAAAAAGAAGCACCGGCUAACUCCGUGCCAGCAGCCGCGGUAAUACGGAGGGUGCUAGCGUUAAUCAGAAUUACUGGGCGUAAAGAGCACGUAGGUGGUUUUUUAAGUCAGAUGUGAAAUCCCUGGGCUUAACCUAGGAACUGCAUUUUGAAACUGAAAUACUAGAGUAUCGUAGAGGGAGGUAGAAUUCUAGGUGUAGCGGUGAAAUGCGUAGAUAUCUGGAGGAAUACCUGUGGCGAAAGCGGCCUCCUAAACGAAUACUGACACUGAGGUGCGAAAGCGUGGGGAGCAAACAGGGAUUAGAUACCAU
rnacentral:rRNA from 1 species